AAAACGGGGAGCCGGACGGCUGAGAGGAGGCAUUGGCCUCGACCCGCAGACCUGAUUUGGAUAAUGCCAACGUAGGGAAAUAU
rnacentral:ncRNA from 1 species